CCUACGGGAGGCAGCAGUGAGGAAUAUUGGUCAAUGGGCGGAAGCCUGAACCAGCCAAGUAGCGUGCGGGAUGAAGGCCCUACGGGUCGUAAACCGCUUUUGUACGGGGAUAACACCCUCCAAUUGUGGACGUCUGCAGGUACCGUGCGAAUAAGGGCCGGCUAAUUCCGUGCCAGCAGCCGCGGUAAUACGGAAGGCGCGAGCGUUAUCAGGAUUCAUUGGGCUUAACGGGAGCGUCGGCGGGCGUUCAAGUCAGCUGUAAAAGCGCGCGGCUCAACCACGCCCCGCAGUUGAAACUGGUCGCUUUGAGUUCGCAACAGGCAGGCGGAAUGCGUGGUGUAGCGGUGAAAUGCAUAG
rnacentral:rRNA from 1 species